rnacentral:tRNA from 1 species
GGCGGAUUAGCUCAGUGGAUAGAGCUUAGGGCUUGUGACCGCAAGAUCCCGGGUUCGAAUCUCGCCAGAGGGAG